rnacentral:rRNA from 1 species
AUGGAGAUAGCUUUUCUCAUGUUGUUGGUUCUUUCUCUGCUUCUGUUCCCUAAUGGCAUCUGCAAGAGUUUAGCCACACGGCCUCCUGUUGUGAAUAUUGGGUCUAUUCUUCAAUUUGACUCCACCACUGGAGGUGUUGCGGCAGUUGCCAUCCAUACAGCCUUGGAAGAUAUCAACUCCGAUCCAACAGUUCUAAAUGGAACUACACUGAAGGUUCAAAUCAAGGAUACAAAUUGCUUUGAUGGUUUCCUUGGCAUGGUUCAAGCUUUGCAGUUCAUGGAGACUGAUGUUAUUGCAAUCGUUGGCCCUCAGUGCUCCACAAUUUCUCAUAUCAUUUCAUAUGUAGCAAAUGAGCUUCGAGUCCCUUUGAUGUCCUUUGCUUCUGAUGCAACUCUUUCAUCGAUACAGUUCCCAUUCUUUGUCAGGACUGGUCCCAAUGACCUCUAUCAAAUGGCGGCUGUGGCAGAAGUUGUUGACUACAACCACUGGAAGAUAGUGACUGCCAUAUACAUUGAUAAUGUUUAUGGUAGAAAUGGCAUUGCUGCUUUGGAUGAUGCACUCGCUUUAAAGCGCUGCAAAAUAUCCUACAAGAUUGGCUUUCCUUCCAACGCUAAAAGGAGUGACCUCAUAAAUUUGUUGGUUAGUGUCAGUUCUAUGGAGUCUCGUGUUAUCAUUCUCCAUACUGGAACUGAACCUGGACUCAAGCUUUUCUCUAUGGCACACCAACUGAACAUGAUGGGCAACGGCUAUGUGUGGAUUGCAACUGACUGGCUGUCCGCAUAUCUUGAUGCUAAUUCAUCAGUUCCUGCUGAGACUAUAUCUGGCCUGCAAGGUGUUCUUACUUUACGGCCACAUAUUCCCAACUCAAAGAUGAAUAAUUUGGUCUCUAAAUGGAGCACGCAAAGUAAAAAGUACAACUACAGUGAUCUUCGUGUAAAUACUUAUGGUUUUUAUGUUUAUGAUAGUGUCUGGGCAGUAGCUCGUGCUCUGGAUGCCUUCUUUGAUGAUGGUGGUAGGAUUUCCUUUUCAAAUGACUUGCAUGAUGAAACUGGAGGAACUCUUCACCUUGAAGCAAUGAGCAUUUUUGACAUGGGAAAUAAAUUACUGGAGAAGAUUAGAAAGGUAAACUUCAGUGGGGUAUCUGGGCAAGUGCAAUUCGAUCCUGUAGGCAACCUCAUUCACCCUGCGUAUGACAUCAUAAAUGUCAUCGGAAAUGGCAUGCGGACCAUUGGUUUUUGGUCAAACUAUUCUGGCUUGUUGUCGACUGUCUCUCCAGAGGCUCUAUAUUCAAAGCCUCCUAAUACUUCUCUCGUCGAUCAGCAUCUCUAUGAUGUUAUUUGGCCUGGGGAGACUGCACAGAGGCCUCGAGGAUGGGUCUUUCCUUCUAAUGCCAAGCAAUUGAAAAUUGGUGUUCCCAACAGAUUUAGCUUCAAAGAGAUCGUCACGGUAGACAAUGCUACUGGGUCAAUGAAGGGUUAUUGCAUCGAUGUCUUUACUCAGGCAUUGGCUUUGCUUCCUUAUCCUGUUAGUUACAAGUUUGUACCUUUUGGGAAUGGUACUGAAAAUCCUAAUUAUGACAAACUCGUACAGAUGAUUGAAUCAAAUGAGUUUGAUGCAGCUAUAGGGGAUAUUGCAAUUACAAUGAGGCGGACAGUAACUUUUGAUUUCACCCAGCCAUUCAUUGAAACAGGCUUGGUUAUCUUGGCUCCGGUUAAAGAGCAUAUAACAUCAUCGUGGGCAUUCUUGCAGCCAUUUAGUUUGGAGAUGUGGUGUGUUACAGGGCUGUUCUUUCUUAUUGUGGGUGUGGUUAUUUGGGUUCUUGAACAUCGGAUCAAUGACGAUUUCCGUGGUUCAGUAUGUCAACAAAUAAUAACUAUUUUCUCGUUCAGCUUUUCGACUUUGUUCUUCGCACACAGAGAAAAUACGAUGAGUGCCUUAGGGCGUGGUGUCCUGAUCAUAUGGCUGUUUGUUGUUUUGAUAAUUGUAUCCAGCUAUACCGCGAGUCUUACUUCCAUCCUGACCGUGCAACAACUUGAUACUUCUAUAAAAGGAAUUGAUGACCUGAAAAAUAGCGAUGGUCCUAUUGGUUUCCAAGUUGGUUCUUUUGCACAAGACUACAUGGUCAAGGAGCUCAACAUCUCACGGUCAAGGCUAAGAGCUCUGGGUUCACCACAAGAAUACGCGGAUGCCCUCAAGAUAGGCCCUAAGGAAGGAGGUGUUAUGGCCAUUGUCGACGAGCGCCCCUAUGUUGAACUGUUUUUGUCAACCUACUGCAAAAUUGCGGUAGCUGGCACAGAUUUCACCAGCAGAGGAUGGGGCUUUGCAUUUCCAAGGGACUCCCCUUUGCAAGUAGACCUCUCCACCGCAAUCCUGUCUCUGUCAGAGAAUGGGGAGCUGCAGCGGAUCCAUGCCAAAUGGCUCAAUACAGGGGAGUGCGCAACUGAAAACAGUGAGUUUGUCGACUCGAACCAGCUCCGCCUUGAGAGUUUCCUUGGUCUGUUCCUAAUCUGUGGUGUGGCAUGUGUUCUCGCGCUGCUACUCUACUUUGGUAUCAUGCUAUGCAAAUACCUGAGGCAUGAACCGCGGAAGAGCCUCAGAAGAUUCAUCUCGUUCGUCCAUGGGAAGGAGCCGCUGAAGAACAAGGAGAGGCGGUCCAUGAGCCUGCCUGGAAGCUCGACGCCAACAACGCCGAUGAGCAGCCUUAGUUCCCUUGACAUGGAAAGGCCGGCCAGGCCAGUCAGAAACGGCAGCGUUAUUGAUAUGGAAAGCUAG